rfam:Gossypium hirsutum cultivar TM-1 chromosome 8, whole genome shotgun sequence
AAUUCAUGGUGUGGGUAUUUCUGAAUCAAUGUUUUAAAAUAUUCCUAUGCCUCAAGGAAACUUUCUCAUUCCAUUUGUCUAAAAACAAUAAUCUCCUUUCUUAAUU